AUGAAGCCACAUGGAGGCUCAGAGGCUAUUUGAGAAUUCACCAAAAAAAGCCUAUUCAUAGGAGGUGGCAAUGUCUGAUGUUCAGAUCACUAGAUUAAUGAGUUUUUUGGCGAGAGGAUACUGUCCCGUGAGAGAAAAGUCUCAUUAACAAUUACGCUCGGUUUGUCACUGAUGAGAACGUGUCAGCAGAUCAGGACAGCAUAAACCUGCCAAGGCAGCGUUGAACUUCCAGCAACGAGAAUCUCCAUGGAGCUGCUGUUCUGACAAGUUCUGGAAGGUGUGGUUUGAGGCGCUGUUCCUGGACUCUUAGCUCCAAGCCUGGGCUUAAAGCUGUUUCACUGGUUCUGUGAACGCCACGAUACGCUGUCCACAAAUUCAUUUAUUUUAGGGACACCGGCAGGAACCAGUUUCUACUGUUUGCAGGUAAGGACUCCAACUAGUAAUUCGCUGUAAGGAAGAGCCUCCCAAACUUUCUCUAUUCAAAGCAUCCGAAAUGCUGUAGUGUUUUUCACAGCAUGCUGAGGCCAAAAGAAAUGUCUGACAGUAUGUAUUUGUUAAAUUCAUAUGGGUA